rnacentral:rRNA from 1 species
GACGGGGGGUCCUAGCGCUGUUCGGAAUUAUUUGGGCGUAAAGCGUGUGCAGGUUGUCUGAAAAGUUAGAUGUGAAAUCCUUGGGCUCAACCCAAGACGUGCAUUAAAACUGCCAGACUUGAAUAUCGAAGAGGUUCGUGGAAUUCCAGGUGUAGUGGUGAAAUACGUAGAUAUCUGGAGGAACACCGGCGGCGAAGGCGGCG